AGGAUAGUACCAAAGGAGUACUUACUGUUACAAUAACUUUUUUUUCUUUCUUUCUAUGUUGUGUGCUAUAGGUGCACUUUUGGAAAGACAACUCCAGAUGAAAUUCAAAUGAACAGAAGAGAAGGGGACUAACGCAAGAGAAAGGGGCCGUGACUUCCAUAAAAUCAGCCAGCAGCUCAGUGACACAGUACUGUCUGUGGACCCACAUCAGAAUUGAGAUAACAACUCCCUUGUGCAUGGCCUUGUUCAGUUACAGUCACAGACUGUCAUAAACCCUGCUCUCAAGGAUACUAGAACUUACUCCAUUUGGAAAAUCUCCGGAAGAUUGAACCUGUAGUACAGGUAGGAAAAGUUGGCAUUGCCAAUGAAUUUUGCUUAGCCACAAUGUUAACAUGUCCAUGUUUUCUAA
rnacentral:lncRNA from 1 species